rnacentral:rRNA from 1 species
UGUAAAUAGCUUGUUUAAAGUUUGGGGAAUAUAGAAGGAAGUUAAGAAAAAUAAUUUUUAUAAUUUUAGUAAUUUUUAAUGAAAAUUAAGUAAAGACUAGAGAGAAAAGUACUGUGAAGGAAAGUUGUUGAGAUUUUAUAUAGAAAAAGUAAAAUUUUGUGCCUCGUGUAUCAGAAAAAAUUUAUAUAAUUUAGUUAAUGGUAAGUAUCUCGAAAUAAAAUAUAGUAAUUUUUAUAAAAUUUUCUUUUUAGAAAAAAAGAAUUUAAUAUAAAAUUUAAAGUGAAAUGCUAGCUGAGUUUUAUGAUAUCUAGUUUUUUAAAAAAUAAAUUUAAUUUAAUUUUUACGAAGAAAGAAUUGUAAAAUUAAAUGGUAGGGGGGAUUAGCUCUUUACGGAAAAGUCAAUGAAAUAGGUAGAUAUAAAGAAAUUAUAUAAAUUAGGCUUAGAAGUAGCUAUAUUGAAAAAGUGUUUUAACUAAAUUAUAAUUACUUGAAUAUUUAAGAUAACUUUUGUUAGGUAUUAAAAAAACGGUUUAAACAAAAUAAAACGAAAUAUAAUGAUUUUAUUAGUAAAAUUUAUUAAGUAAAUAAAAAU